rnacentral:misc_RNA from 1 species
UUCGUAUGCCGUUGCAAUAUUUCAGUCAAUAACGCACAGAUGGCAUUCGCUUCUGAAACCAGUGCCUGGCGGCCGCGUUCCAUAUGUUUCUGAAAGAUAUCAUGUGAACGGAUGUCUGUGCUAUUGAGCUGGCAGGCACGUACUACCGUCUGCUCGAUGAGCAUCUCUGUUAGUUCAUCACAGGAGCCGAGCGUGCUGUAAGCGAGACACAGAUUUUCAUGAUCCGGCAGGUUCUUGCGCAGAUACUUGAUUUCACCGGCAAGCGAUAACUGCAUCAAACGCAGCAGACCGGCACGCAUGUGUUUGUCAGCCUUGGCAG